UUUCCCUGUUAUAAACAUGCUUGUUCGAAACCUGUUAAGAGAAUAGAAAUUUUGUUAAUAGAGAACGAUCAAACAAAUCUAUAUUCAUAUGUUACGAAGGCAUCAUCCGUUUUGACUGACAGAUAUAAAUAUUUACGCCCGUCCACACCCGCCUCGUCCUCUUAUAAGCCACUAUUAAUUCCAAUUAAAAAGAGAUUACUCAAGAGAAAAAAUCGAAACAAAUCAGAUGUUAACCCAAAUAUUUUCGACAAAAUUCUCAUAAUGGAAAAAAGCUGGAACACGAUAUCACGCCGAAAAAAGCUUCAACCCCCAACAUACUGCGCUAAAACUUUUUUGCACCCACAUUAUAAAAUAAAAUAUUGUUGAAUAUUAAAGAACUAUAGGUUGAGGGAGUGUGCUUAGUAUCACCGUGAUUUUAGUUAAAUUUUGGGAUUCCCUUUUUAUGAUAGUCCGAAGAAGAUGUAUUGUUAGAUAUUUCGUCAUUGAAGCGUAGUCUGAAACCACGAUUCGGAGAAUGUUAAAUGGCCUCAUUGCCCUCACAAUGAAAGCAGUCACAAUUCAGAAUUCUCCGAAAAUGAAGUAUCUAUAAGUAACUCUGGAUACAAAACCUUCGUGGAAAUCUAACGAGGAACACAAAUGCUCUAAAGAAUGGGCAGCAUUUUGGCAAUGUAAACUGGUCUUUGGAUUUAUACCUCUAUGAUCAGACCCAUAAUUAGCUAUGCGUCAGUGAUAGGGUGGAGCAGAUUCUCAAUCAAGAGCGUGGGAGGUCUGCUUGCAAAACUUCAAAAAACUAUUGCCGUGUGCGGUAUGAAAGAUUUCUCUACAAAACGUGGCGUUGUUCUUGAUGCACUGCUGCACUUACCGUCAUUAACUUUACUCUUGGCAAGUAUGCUUCGGUCUUCCAGGCUGAGGUAUUUGCAAUUCUCAAGUAUAUGGACUACAUGGUGGAAAAUAGGUGGAGCGGAAGGAGUUUACGUGACGGCCAAGCUGCAUUUAACGCACUACUUACUUCCAGACUCUGAGUGCCAGUUCAAUCGGGAGUACCUCCUAUCGUCCAUAACUAUAAUAUUUAUCAUAUCAUGAAUUUCAAUUUUCGUUUUUGCGCAUAUCGAAAUUUCUUUUUAAUUUUG